rnacentral:rRNA from 1 species
GCGGUUAAAAAGCUCGUAGUUGGAUUUCUGUUGAGGUCGGGCGGUGUACACCUCGUGUAUUAUUUGCUCCGGUCUCGGCAUCCUCUUGGGGAACGUUUCAGGACUUUAUUGGACUGGGCGAGAUUCAAGACUUUUACUUUGAGGAAAUUAGAGUGUUCACGGCAGGCAAGUGCUUUGAAUACAUUAGCAUGGAAUAAUAAUAUAGGACCUUCGUUCUAUUUUGUUGGUUUCUAGAACUUAGGUAAUGAUUAAUAGGGACAAUUGGGGGCAUUCGUAUUAACGCGUCAGAGGUGGAAUUCUUGGAUUGCGUUACGACGAACUACUGCGAAAGCAUUUGCCAAAGAUGUUUUCAUUGAUCAAGAACGAAAGUAUGGGGAUCGAAGACGCUUAGAUACCGUCGUAAGUCUAUACCAUAAACUAUGCCAACUAAGAGAUCGGUGGGGUUAUCCUAUGUGGCUCCAUCGGCAUCUUAUGAGAAAUCAAAGUUUUUGGGUUCCGGGGGGA